GAUGAACGCUGGCGGCGUGCCUAAUACAUGCAAGUCGAGCGAACAGAUAAGGAGCUUGCUCCUUUGACGUUAGCGGCGGACGGGUGAGUAACACGUGGGUAACCUACCUAUAAGACUGGGAUAACUUCGGGAAACCGGAGCUAAUACCGGAUAACAUUUGGAACCGCAUGGUUCUAAAGUGAAAGAUGGUUUUGCUAUCACUUAUAGAUGGACCCGCGCCGUAUUAGCUAGUUGGUAAGGUAACGGCUUACCAAGGCAACGAUACGUAGCCGACCUGAGAGGGUGAUCGGCCACACUGGAACUGAGACACGGACCAGACUCCUAAGGGAGGCAGCAGUAGGGAAACUGCCGCAAUGGGCGAAAGCCUGACGGAGCAACGCCGCGUGAGUGAUGAAGGGUUUCCGCGCGUAAAACUCUGUUAUUAGGGACGAACAAACGUGUAAGUAACUGUGCACGUCUUGACGGUACCUAAUCAGAAAGCCACGGCUAACUACGUG
rnacentral:rRNA from 1 species